AUUGAACGCUGGCGGCAGGCUUAACACAUGCAAGUCGAGCGGGGUGAUGGUGCUUGCACUAUCACUUAGCGGCGGACGGGUGAGUAAUGCUUAGGAAUCUGCCUAUUAGUGGGGGACAACAUCUCGAAAGGGAUGCUAAUACCGCAUACGUCCUACGGGAGAAAGCAGGGGAUCACUUGUGACCUUGCGCUAAUAGAUGAGCCUAAGUCGGAUUAGCUAGUUGGUGGGGUAAAGGCCUACCAAGGCGACGAUCUGUAGCGGGUCUGAGAGGAUGAGCCGCCACACUGGGACUGAGACACGGCCCAGACUCAUACGGGAGGCAGCAGUGGGGAAUAUUGGACAAUGGGGGGAACCCUGAUCCAGCCAUGCCGCGUGUGUGAAGAAGGCCUUAUGGUUGUAAAGCACUUUAAGCGAGGAGGAGGCUCUUUUGGUUAAUACCCAAGAUGAGUGGACGUUACUCGCAGAAUAAGCACCGGCUAACUCUGUGCCAGCCGCCGCCGUAA
rnacentral:rRNA from 1 species